CAAUAGCGUAUAUUAAAGUUGUUGCGGUUAAAAAGCUCGUAGUUGGAUUUCUGUCGAGAACGGCCGGUCCGCACUAUGUGCGUGUAUCUGGUUCGGUCUUGGCAUCCUCUUGGAGAACGUAACUGCGCUUGAUUGCGUGGUGCGGUAUUCAAGACUUUUACUUUGAGGAAAUUAGAGUGUUCACGGCAGGCAAGCGCCUUGAAUAUAUUAGCAUGGAAUAAUAAUAUAGGAUCUCGGUUCUAUUUUGUUUGGUUUCUUAGAAUCAGGAUAAUGAUUAAUAGGGAGUAAUUGGGGGCGAUUUGUUAUUAACGCGUCAGAGGUGGAAUUCUUGGUAUUGCGUUACGACAAACUACUGCGAAAGACAUUUGUCCAAGGAUGUUUUCUAUUGAUCAAGAACGAAAGUAUGGGGAGUCGAAGAUGAUCAGAUACCGU
rnacentral:rRNA from 1 species